AUGUGACGCCAUACAUGUCUAGCAGAUGCAGGGGAGGAUGAAGAAGGUGUGGCCUAUGGUGCGACAACACAUGGAUACGGCUGAAGCUGGGCAAGCUCGCACGUACAAUCAAGGAACACAGAUUCGGGAGCUCCCACCAGGUGAGAAGGUCUUGAUGUUGAUUCCAACGCAUGAGUAUAAGUUCCUGGCCAAGUGGUAGAGGCCGUAUGAGGUUGUUGAGAAGAUGGGACCUGUCAAUUACAAGGUGAGACGGCCAGGCCGGUGAAAAGGCAAUCAGAUAUAUCAUACAAAUCUGCUGAAGAGAUUGCAUGCUUUGGAAACAACCCCAGUUACUGCCCUGUUAACAACCGUCUCUCCACAGACAGAACCACCAGUAGAAAUAAGGAAUUCCCACGCAGGUACAGGACUUAAAGGAACUUAUAGGCCGAAGCAGAUACAUUUUUUCAGAGCUGCCAUGUGAUCGCCCACAACAUCGACACCAAGCCAGGUGUGGUAAUCAGGCAGAGAACAUAUCGAAAAGCAGAAGCCCGUCGAAAGGCGAAACUGGAGGAAGGGAGAAAAUGUUGGAGGUCAGGGUCAUUGAAGAGUUCCAUAGCCCCUGGUCUAGCCCCAUCGUUAUCAUCCCAAAACCAGAUGGCACUCUUAGGUUUUGUAACGAUUUAAGGAAAUUGAACGAGGUCUCCCUGUUCGACGCCUACCCGAUGCCAAGGGUAGAUGAGCUGAUCAAACGACUAGGCUCGGCUCAGCGUACUCGAUCCCAGGAAGGAAUAUUGGCAUGUUCUCCUGACACCAAGAGGCCGCUUAAAGACGGCCUUUUUCACCCCUGACGGGCUGUUUCAAUAUACGGACCUGUCAUUUGGGGUCCACUACGCCCCGGCCACGUUUUAGAGGAUGAUGGACCGCAUCCUUCAACCCUUCCAACAAUACGCCGCGGCCUAUUUGGAUGACAUCAUCAUCCACAGUAGCUCAUGGGAGCUUCAUCGAGGCCAUCUGGAGGCGGUAGUGGGAGCACUCAGGAAAGCGGGGCUGAGAGCAAAGCCAAAGAAUUGCAGGUUGGGGCUUCAGGAGAUGGACAACCUGCGGUAAACUAUAGGACGGCGGUGCGUCAAACCACAGACGAGAAAGAUGGAGAAGGUCCAGAAUUGGCCACGAUCCAGCACAAGGAACCCCCUUGUAUGACCUGACCAUCAGCCUCCUGCCCCGUCACGUGAGGUGGACGAAGGAGGCAGAGGAAGCCUUCCAGGCUGUCCGACAGGCCCUGUGUGAAGAACCAGUACUUCGGUCCCCUGACUUCACCAGACCAUUUCUCCUUCAGACAGAUGCCUCCGGGACUGGAAUCGGGGCAGUCCUGGCCCAAGUGAUUGACGGGGAUGAGCAUCCAGUAAUGUAUAGCAGUCGGAAACUACAGAAACAUGAGACCAACUAUUCGACCGUUGAAAAGGAGUGCCUCGCAAUCAAAUGGGCCAUUCAUCACCUCUGGUGCUCCCUCUGGGGCCGGGAGUUUCUGUUGGUGACCGACCACACCCUCCUAAAAAGGAUGGCCACGAACAAGGACAAGAAUUCCAGGGUCACCAGAUGGUUUAUUGAGCUGUAAAUUUACAAGUUCACAGUGGAACAUCGACCGUGGAAGGUGAUCCAAAAUAUAGAUGCCCUGUCCAGGAUGUAUGAAGAGGAAAUUCAAGCUCCUGAGCCAAGCAGGGAGCUUAGGGGGGUAAAUGUGGAUUGUCGGUAUGGGGCUGACUAGCGCCCUAUCGGAGGUACGAGGUGUGCCCAGGUUCAGUCCAGUAGACAUGUGGCCCUCGGCAGAGUGGUUGAGGGGCGGUACCUACCUGCAGUCCUCAAUCAGCUCGAGAUAAUGACAACUCAGUCUAAUCACCAAUGGAGGACACCUGGGUUCUGAUCAGCCUGGACCAUAAAUGCAGCAGCUUGAACCUGAGCUUACUCUACCUCUGCAUGGCGGCAACCAGUGUUGGACAAAGCUAAGCCCAGACAUGAUGAGCUCAGCUUAUCGGGGGAGGACUGAGCGAGGACACAAGACGUGCUCAGUCAACAUGAAUACAAGAACACUUUCUGUCCCCAAUAAAAGGC